rnacentral:rRNA from 1 species
GUGUCAGCCGUCGCGGUAAUACGUAGGGUGCAAGCGUUAAUCGGAAUUACUGGGCGUAAAGCGUGCGCAGGCGGUUAUAUAAGACAGAUGUGAAAUCCCCGGGCUCAACCUGGGAACUGCAUUUGUGACUGUAUGGCUAGAGUACGGCAGAGGGGGAUGGAAUUCCGCGUGUAGCAGUGAAAUGCGUAGAUAUGCGGAGGAACACCGAUGGCGAAGGCAAUCCCCUGGGCCUGUACUGACGCUCAUGCACGAAAGCGUGGGGAGCAAACAGGAUUAGAUACCCUGGUAGUCCACGCCCUAAACGGUGUCAACUGGUUGUUGGGUCUUCACUGACUCAGUAACGAAGCUAACGCGUGAAGUUGACCGCCUGGGGAGUACGGCCGCAAGGUUGAAACUUAAAUUGGCGG